rnacentral:tRNA from 1 species
GCUCGAGUGGCGGAACUGGUAGACGCGCACGACUCAAAAUCGUGUGGCUUUUAGUCAUGUGGGUUCGAUUCCCACCCCGAGCACCA